GACGAACGCUGGCGGCGUGCUUAACACAAGCAAGUCGAACGGUAAGGCCCUUCGGGGUACACGAGUGGCGAACGGGUGAGUAACACGUGGGUGAUCUGCCCUGCACUUCGGGAUAAGCCUGGGAAACUGGGUCUAAUACCGGAUAGGACCACUGCCUGCAUGGGUGGGGGGGGAAAGCUUUUGCGGUGUGGGAUGGGCCCGCGGCCUAUCAGCUUGUUGGUGGGGUGAUGGCCUACCAAGGCGACGACGGGUAGCCGGCCUGAGAGGGGUGACCGGCCACACUGGGACUGAGAUACGGCCCAGACUCCUACGGGAGGCAGCAGUGGGGAAUAUUGCACAAUGGGCGCAAGCCUGAUGCAGCGACGCCGCGUGAGGGAUGACGGCCUUCGGGUUGUAAACCUCUUUCAGCACCGACGAAGCGCAAGUGACGGUAGGUGCAGAAGAAGGACCGGCCAACUACGUGCCAGCCGCCGCAGUAA
rnacentral:rRNA from 1 species